GUUAUUUGACAACCGCCAAGCAACAGUGAAAGCUGACAUUACCUUUCAAAGAAGAAGAAAGCGGAAGUGCGUUGGAAAGGAGGAAAAAAUGUCGCUAACGAGCUUUUUACCGGCGCCCACCCAGCUCUCACAAGACCAGCUUGAGGCGGAGGAUAGACUUCGUGCCCAGAGGUCCUACUCCACCGCUUUGGUUGCGUCCCGGAGAGAACCACCGCCUUAUGGACACAGAACUGGAUUUGUACCUCGUGUCCAGGAGGACUUUGGAGAUGGAGGCGCUUUUCCUGAGAUUCAUGUGGCACAGUUUCCUCUGGAGAUGGGCAGGCAGAAAAAAACCUCCAAUGCGCUGACCAUGCAGGUGGAUGCUGAAGGGAAGGUGAAAUAUGAUGCCAUUGCAAGACAAGGACAGAGCAAGGACAAGGUGGUCUUCAGUAAGUAUACAGAUCUACUUCCUAAAGAAGUUAUGAAUGAGGACACACCAGAACUACAGAAGCCUGAUGAGGAAGCCAUACAGGAGCUGACUGAAAAGACUCGUGCUGCCCUGAGCAAGCAGGUGUCACAAAAGAUUGCUGCAGCCAUGCCUGUGAGAGCAGCAGACAAACUGGCCCCAGCACAGUACAUCAGAUACACUCCCUCCCAGCAAGGUGUGGCGUUCAACUCCGGGGCCAAACAGAGAGUCAUCCGCAUGGUGGAAAUGCAGAAAGACCCGAUGGAGCCACCACGUUUCAAAAUCAACAAGAAAAUUCCUCGUGGACCUCCUUCACCGCCGGCACCAGUUAUGCAUUCUCCAAGCAGAAAGAUGACCGUGAAGGAACAGCAGGAGUGGAAGAUUCCCCCUUGCAUUUCCAACUGGAAGAAUGCAAAGGGUUACACCAUCCCUCUUGACAAGCGUUUGGCCGCUGAUGGAAGGGGACUGCAAACGGUUCACAUCAAUGAAAACUUUGCCAAGCUCGCUGAGGCGCUCUACAUCGCUGAUAGAAAGGCCAGAGAGGCGGUGGAGAUGAGGGCCCAAGUGGAAAAGAAGAUGGCCCAGAAGGAGAAAGAAAAGAAAGAGGAGAAACUCAGGGAGUUGGCCCAAAUGGCUCGUGAUCGCAGAGCAGGAAUUAAAAGCCACGGCGACAAAGGUGGUGAUGACGGUGAGGCCAGGGAGCGUGACGAGAUCCGCCAUGACCGAAGGAAAGAGAGACAACACGACAGGAACAUUUCCAGAGCCGCUCCUGAUAAGAGGUCCAAGUUGCAGAGAGACCAGGACCGAGACAUUAGCGAGCUCAUCGCUCUGGGAAUGCCCAACCCUCGCACCACCAAUGAGGCCCAGUAUGACCAGCGACUAUUCAAUCAGAGUAAAGGAAUGGAUAGUGGCUUUGCCGGGGGUGAGGACGAGACGUACAAUGUCUACGACCAGCCUUUCCGCAGUGGCAGAGACAUGGCAUCAAACAUCUACAGGCCCAGCAAGAGCAUCGACAAGGACGCCUACGCCGAUGACUUUGACACACUCAUGCGCAACAACCGAUUUGUUCCUGACAAAGAGUUCUCUGGUGCUGACCACGGGCAGAGGCGAGAUGGGCCUGUCCAGUUCGAGGUGGAUCCCUUCGGUCUGGAUAAAUUCUUGGAGGAGGCCAAGCAGCACGGCGGCUCAAAGAGACCAUCCACCAGCAGCCGCUCCAAGGACGACUACCACGACAAGAAGCGCCGGAAGGAGUGAGGCCACCUUGUGGCUCGCUGGAAGACGGGGGAGGUUGUCUACACUUCAACGUGCGGAAUCCUCAGGAUCACAGAGGUAUGCCGGAGCCUAUCCCAGUUGACCUUUUGGCGAGAGAUGGGGUACAUCCUGGACUGGUUGGCAGCCAAUCGCAGGGUACAUAUAGAUAAGCAACCAUUUACUCAUAUUUAUCAUCUGUCUCAUUUCUAACCUUAAUUAAAAUGUUACACGUAUGAGAUAUGAGUGAAAUCCGCUAAUGACCAGAUAUACAGUGCAGCCAAUGCCAUGGAAAUGUGUAGAUUUUAGUUCAAUUUCACUUUACUUUAAAUUGUGUACAAUUUAAGAGGCCUCUGUAUGUGUUGGUGCAGUAUUUCUUGACGGGUGUGUGUAUCAGGAUGACACAAACACAAAGCAUCUUUUUGAAUCUUGUACAGCAGUACAAUAAAUUCCAAAUAGCG